CUGAUUCCACAGCCUAGGCUUUUGACCAUCAUGCAUCCUACUUUACACAGCUUCAUUGCCUCCCCAAGCUGGAAUUCAGCAUUCUCAGGGAUUCUGUUUCCUCACCUGUAAAAUGGAGAGAAUAAGAGUAACCUGCAGAAGCUAGAGCCCUUAACCACAGAACUACUCAUGAACCUCGCCAAAGACUCAGAGAAGCUGAAGGAGGAGCUCAUGCAGGUCUGAGUGCUGACCCGGCCAACAAACUGAAAUGUGAUUCCCCUGGCUUUCUAUUUUGGAAAAUACCUGCGAUGAGUGCCAUGCCGAAAGAAAAGCUGUUGACGGGAAAAGCUCCUGCCUGGGAAGGGGCUUCUUCCAAGCAUUCUCAAAGGAGACAGUUGCCUCAAGCGAGCUGAGGCAGGGAUGCCACGGCUAGGAGUAAGAAAUCCAGAUUGCCGGAGAGUCAUCUCUAUCUAUGGACUCGGCAACUUGUCAAGCAGUUUCCUCCAUGAGAGCAGUACCCUGCGCAUAAACUUUUAGGCCAGGCAGACAUGCAUCUGAGUCCUCUGCCACUUGCUGUGUGAUCUGGAACAAACUGCUUAACCUCUCAAGAUGUCAGCUUUCUCACCCUGUUGCGUGAAAUAAAUGCAACAAUGCAUGUAAAACAUGUAA